GACGGACGCUGGCGGCGUGCCUAAUACAUGCAAGUCGAACGCUUUGAUUUUCACCGGAGCUUGCUCCACCGAAAAUCAAAGAGUGGCGGACGGGUGAGUAACACGUGGGCAACCUGCCCAACAGAGGGGGAUAACACUUGGAAACAGGUGCUAAUACCGCAUAAUUUGUUUUUCCGCAUGGAAGAAUAAUAAAAGACGCUUCGGUGUCACUGUUGGAUGGGCCCGCGCUGCAUUAGUUAGUUGGUGGGGUAACGGCCUACCAAGACCAUGAUGCAUAGCCGACCUGAGAGGGUGAUCGGCCACACUGGGACUGAGACACGGCCCAGACUCCUACGGGAGGCAGCAGUAGGGAAUCUUCGGCAAUGGACGAAAGUCUGACCGAGCAACGCCGCGUGAGUGAAGAAGGUUUUCGGAUCGUAAAACUCUGUUGUUAGAGAAGAACAAGUGAGAGAGUUACUGUUCUCACCUUGACGGUAUCUAACCAGAAAGCCACGGCUAACUACGUGCCAGCAGCCGCGGUAAUACGUAGGUGGCAAGCGUUGUCCGGAUUUAUUGGGCGUAAAGCGAGCGCAGGCGGUUUCUUAAGUCUGAUGUGAAAGCCCUCGGCUCAACCGAGGAAGGUCAUUGGAAACUGGGGAACUUGAGUGCAGAAGAGGAGAGUGGAAUUCCAUGUGUAGCGGUGAAAUGCGUAGAUAUAUGGAGGAACACCAGUGGCGAAGGCGACUCUCUGGUCUGUAACUGACGCUGAGGCUCGAAAGCGUGGGGAGCAAACAGG
rnacentral:rRNA from 1 species